rnacentral:rRNA from 1 species
UACAGAGGUGGCAAGCGUUGUUCGGAAUUACUGGGCGUAAAGGGCGCGUAGGCGGUCUUGCAAGUCCUGUGUGAAAUCCCUCGGCUCAACUGAGGAACUGCACAGGAAACUGCUUGGCUUGAGUUCGGGAGAGGGAAGCGGAAUUCCGGGUGUAGCGGUGAAAUGCGUAGAUAUCCGGAGGAACACCGAUGGCGAAGGCGGCUUCCUGGAAAGAGACUGACGCUGGGGCGCGAAAGCGAGGGGAGCAAACAGG